UACGUAGGGGGCGAGCGUUGUCCGGAUUUAUUGGGCGUAAAGCGCGCGUAGGCGGUUUGUUAAGUCAGCUGUGAAAGCCCCGGGCUCAACCUGGGAACUGCAGUUGAUACUGUCCGACUAGAGUACGAGAGAGGGAGGUAGAAUUCCAUGUGUAGCGGUGAAAUGCGUAGAUAUAUGGAGGAAUACCAGUGGCGAAGGCGGCCUCCUGGCUCGAUACUGACGCUGAGGUGCGAAAGCGUGGGGAUCAAACAGG
rnacentral:rRNA from 1 species